rnacentral:rRNA from 1 species
GACAGAGGGUGCAAACGUUGCUCGGAAUCACUGGGCGUAAAGGGCGUGUAGGCGGGAAGGAAAGUCAGAUGUGAAAUCCCUGGGCUCAACCCAGGAACUGCAUUUGAAACUCCCUUUCUUGAGUGUCGGAGAGGAAAGCGGAAUUCCUGGUGUAGAGGUGAAAUUCGUAGAUAUCUGGAGGAAUACCGGUGGCGAAGGCGGCAUCCUGGACCGAGAUUGACACUGAUGAGCGAAAGCUAGGGGAGCAAACGGG